rnacentral:rRNA from 2 species
AGGCAGCAGUAGGGAAUCUUCCGCAAUGGACGAAAGUCUGACGGAGCAACGCCGCGUGAGUGAUGAAGGCUUUCGGGUCGUAAACUYUGUUGUUAGGGAAGAACAAGUACGAGAGUAACUGCUYGUACCUUGACGGUACCUAACCAGAAAGCCACGGCUAACUACGUGCCAGCAGCCGCGGUAAUACGUAGGUGGCRAGCGUUAUCCGGAAUUAUUGGGCGUAAAGCGCGCGCAGGCGGUUUCUUAAGUCUGAUGUGAAAGCCCACGGCUCAACCGUGGAGGGUCAUUGGAAACUGGGGAACUUGAGUGCAGAAGAGAAAAGCGGAAUUCCACGUGUAGCGGUGAAAUGCGUAGAGAUGUGGAGGAACACCAGUGGCGAAGGCGGCUUUUUGGUCUGUAACUGACGCUGAGGCGCGAAAGCGUGGGGAGCAAACAGGAUUAGAUACCCUGGUAGUCCACGCCGUAAACGAUGAGUGCUAAGUGUUAGAGGGUUUCCGCCCUUUAGUGCUGCAGCUAACGCAUUAAGCACUCCGCCUGGGGAGUACGGUCGCAAGACUGAAACUCAAAGGAAUUGACGGGGGCCCGCACAAGCGGUGGAGCAUGUGGUUUAAUUYGAAGCAACGCGAAGAACCUUACCAGGUCUUGACAUCCUCUGACAACUCUAGAGAUAGAGCGUUCCCCUUCGGGGGACAGAGUGACAGGUGGUGCAUGGUUGUCGUCAGCUCGUGUCGUGAGAUGUUGGGUUAAGUCCCGCAACGAGCGCAACCCUUGAUCUUAGUUGCCAGCAUUUAGUUGGGCACUCUAAGGUGACUGCCGGUGACAAACCGGAGGAAGGUGGGGAUGACGUCAAAUCAUCAUGCCCCUUAUGACCUGGGCUACACACGUGCUACAAUGGAUGGUACAAAGGGCUGCAAGACCGCGAGGUCAAGCCAAUCCCAUAAAACCAUUCUCAGUUCGGAUUGUAGGCUGCAACUCGCCUACAUGAAGCUGGAAUCGCUAGUAAUCGCGGA